rnacentral:rRNA from 1 species
CAUGCAAGUCGAACGAAGCUUGACGGAUGAUUUCUUCGGAAUGAAACCUGAUAUGACUUAGUGGCGGACGGGUGAGUAACACGUGAGCAACCUGCCUUUCAGAGGGGGAUAACGGCUGGAAACGGUCGCUAAUACCGCAUGACGUGUUCGGAUGGCAUCAUCUGAACAUCAAAGAUUUAUCGCUGAAAGAUGGGCUCGCGUCUGAUUAGAUAGUUGGUGGGGUAACGGCCUACCAAGUCUACGAUCAGUAGCCGGACUGAGAGGUUGAACGGCCACAUUGGGACUGAGAUACGGCCCAGACUCCUACGGGAGGCAGCAGUGGGGAAUAUUGCACAAUGGGGGAAACCCUGAUGCAGCAACGCCGCGUGAAGGAUGACGGUUUUCGGAUUGUAAACUUCUUUUCUUAGUGACGAAGACAGUGACGGUAGCUAAGGAAUAAGCAUCGGCUAACUACGUGCCAGCAGCCGCGGUAAUACGUAGGAUGCAAGCGUUAUCCGGAUUUACUGGGUGUAAAGGGAGCGCAGGCGGGACUGCAAGUUGGAUGUGAAAUACCGUGGCUUAACCACGGAACUGCAUCCAAAACUGUAGUUCUUGAGUGAAGUAGAGGCAAGCGGAAUUCCGAGUGUAGCGGUGAAAUGCGUAGAUAUUCGGAGGAACACCAGUGGCGAAGGCGGCUUGCUGGGCUUUAACUGACGCUGAGGCUCGAAAGUGUGGGGAGCAAACAGGAUUAGAUACCCUGGUAGUCCACACUGUAAACGAUGAUAGCUAGGUGUGGGGGGUCUGACCCCUUCCGUGCCGGAGUUAACGCAAUAAGCUAUCCACCUGGGGGAGUACGACCGCAA